UCCGGUUUGGCACCGGCAGUCUUCCUAGAGUCCCCGCCAUUACGCGCUGGCAACUAAGAACAGGGGUUGCGCUCGUUGCGCCACAUAAGGCAACACCUCACGGCACGAGCUGACGACAGCCAUGCACCACCUGUGCAGGCUCCGAAGAGCACCCGCUUUCACGGGUUUCACCCUGCAUGUCAAGCCCAGGUAAGGUCCUUCGCGUUGCGUCGAAUUAAACCACAUGCUCCGCUGCUUGUGCGGGUCCCCGUCAAUUCCUUUGAGUUUUAGCCUUGCGGCCGUACUCCCCAGGCGGGGCACUUAAUGCGUUAGCUGCGCCACCGAAGAGCAUGCUCUCCAACGGCUGGCAUUCAUCGUUUACGGCGUGGACUAC
rnacentral:misc_RNA from 1 species